UGGGGUUGUGGCUCAGUGGCAGAGCGCUUGCCUAACACAUGAGGCACUGGGUUUGAUCCUCAGCACCACAA
rnacentral:tRNA from 1 species